rnacentral:rRNA from 1 species
UACAGAGGUGGCAAGCGUUUGUUCGGAAUUACUGGGCGUAAAGGGCGAGUAGGUGGCCAUCUAAGUCAGACGUGAAAUCCCCCGGCUUAACCUGGGAACUGCGUCUGAUACUGGACGGCUUGAGUAUGGGAGAGGAACGUAGAAUUCCAGGUGUAGCGGUGAAAUGCGUAGAUAUCUGGAGGAAUACCGGUGGCGAAGGCGGCGUUUCUGGACCAUUACUGACACUGAAUCGCGAAAGCUAGGGAGCGAAACAGGGAGUU